rnacentral:rRNA from 1 species
UGUUGCUUGUAGGCAGCCUUAAGUAGGGGUAAAUUCCAUUUAAGGCUAAAUUAACCAGGAGACCGAUAGGGAACAAGUACGGCGAGGGAAAGUUGAAAAGAACUUUGAAGAGAGAGUUCAAGAGUAGGUGAAACCGUUCAGGGGUAAACGAAAAAGCCCUGAAUUUUGAAAAGGGGGGUUUCACGUCUUACCGUUCAUUCGGCUUUUAAGUGUUUGGAGAUGCCCUUUCGCCCUGCUCAGUUUAAACUGGGGUAGAGGGUUGGUUGGCUCGCAUUUGAAUAGCUAGGGUGGGGCGGGUCGCCAUUUUUCCCUUGUUGGAAUGUGGGGACCUUUCAAUUAAAAUAUUAAGUUUAUUCGUAAAAGGUUUUUUUUUUUAAAAAAAUGUAGUGAAAGGUAUAUUUUUUUUAAAAAAGCUUUAACAAUUUUAUAUACUGUAUAUUUUUAUUUUGACAGUAUAAAAUGAUUUGGUUUUAGGCCACUAAAAAUUACAAUUUUGUAAUGUAAAGUGUCUUUAGCUAAUUUGCAAGUGGGUUAUGUUUAAUAGUUUACGUCGGACUUUAGGUCCGUCUUGCGUAUUCCUCAUGCUGUUGGUAAAUUGUGCCUCAGACUG